AGCGAACGCUGGCGGCAGGCUUAACACAUGCAAGUCGAGCGGGCGUAGCAAUACGUCAGCGGCAGACGGGUGAGUAACGCGUGGGAACGUACCUUUUGGUUCGGAACAACACAGGGAAACUUGUGCUAAUACCGGAUAAGCCCUUACGGGGAAAGAUUUAUCGCCGAAAGAUCGGCCCGCGUCUGAUUAGCUAGUUGGUGAGGUAAUGGCUCACCAAGGCGACGAUCAGUAGCUGGUCUGAGAGGAUGAUCAGCCACAUUGGGACUGAGACACGGCCCAAACUCCUACGGGAGGCAGCAGUGGGGAAUAUUGGACAAUGGGGGCAACCCUGAUCCAGCCAUGCCGCGUGAAGGAAGAAGGCGCUCAGCGUUGUAAACUUCUUUUGGUAUGGGAACAAACCACCCGGUUUACUGGGUGGCUGAGGGUACCAUCAGAAUAAGCACCGGCUAACUCCGUGCCAGCAGCCGCGGUAAAGU
rnacentral:rRNA from 1 species